UGGGGAAUAUUGCACAAUGGGCGCAAGCCUGAUGCAGCCAUGCCGCGUGUAUGAAGAAGGCCUUCGGGUUGUAAAGUACUUUCAGCGGGGAGGAAGGGAGUAAAGUUAAUACCUUUACUCAUUGACGUUACCCGCAGAAGAAGCACCGGCUAACUCCGUGCCAGCAGCCGCGGUAAUACGGAGGGUGCAAGCAUUAAUCGGAAUUACUGGGCGUAAAGCGCACGCAGGCGGUUUGUUAAGUCAGAUGUGAAAUCCCCGGGCUCAACCUGGGAACUGCAUCUGAGACUGGCAAGCUUGAGUCUCGUAGAGGGGGGUAGAAUUCCAGGUGUAGCGGUGAAAUGCGUAGAGAUCUGGAGGAAUACCGGUGGCGAAGGCGGCCCCCUGGACGAAGACUGACGCUCAGGUGCGAAAGCGUGGGGAGCAAACAGG
rnacentral:rRNA from 1 species